rnacentral:misc_RNA from 1 species
GGAUGCGCCAAUUGUUAUUGAUUGGCCCUCCUAAAAUGUAGCUCUUGACUGUGGACUACUAUAGUAGUUUGGCUUAAUAGUUUUGGCACUUGUUUGUCAAAUCUUUGGCUACAUUUACUUUGGUCCAUGCAGUCUUGAUAUACAGAAAACUCAAAUACAACUUUGAUCUGAAAUCAGGUAGGGCUACCCGCUGAACUUAA